AGGUAAGCUACUAAGAGCGAAUGGUGGAUGCCUUGACUGGUAAAGGCGAUGAAGGACGUACUAGACUGCGAUAAGCUACGGGGAGCUGUCAAGAAGCUUUGAUCCGUAGAUUUCCGAAUGGGGCAACCCAAUGUAUAGAGAUAUACAUUACCUAUAUAGGAGCGAACGAGGGGAAUUGAAACAUCUUAGUACCCUCAGGAAAAGAAAUCAAUAGAGAUUGCGUCAGUAGCGGCGAGCGAAAGCGCAAGAGGGCAAACCCAGUGCUUGCACUGGGGGUUGUAGGACUGCAAUGUGCAAGAGGUAAGUUUAGCAGAACAUUCUGGAAAGUAUAACCAUAGAGGGUGAUAGUCCCGUAUGCGAAAAACAAACCUUAGCUAGCAGUAUCCUGAGUAGGGCGGGACACGAGGAAUCCUGUCUGAAUCCGGGUCGACCACGAUCCAACCCUAAAUACUAAUACCAGAUCGAUAGUGCACAAGUACCGUGAGGGAAAGGUGAAAAGAACUGAGGUGAUCAGAGUGAAAUAGAACCUGAAACCAUUUGCUUACAAUCAUUCAGAGCCCUAUGUAGCAAUACAGGGUGAUGGACUGCCUUUUGCAUAAUGAGCCUGCGAGUUGUGGUGUCUGGCAAGGUUAAGCAAACGCGAAGCCGUAGCGAAAGCGAGUCUGAAUAGGGCGCUUAGUCAGAUGCUGCAGACCCGAAACGAAGUGAUCUAUCCAUGAGCAAGUUGAAGCUAGUGUAAGAACUAGUGGAGGACUGAACCCAUAGGCGUUGAAAAGCCCCGGGAUGACUUGUGGAUAGGGGUGAAAGGCCAAUCAAACUUCGUGAUAGCUGGUUCUCUCCGAAAUAUAUUUAGGUAUAGCGUUGUGUCGUAAUAUAAGGGGGUAGAGCACUGAAUGGGCUAGGGCAUACACCAAUGUACCAAACCCUAUCAAACUCCGAAUACCUUAUAUGUAAUCACAGCAGUCAGGCGGCGAGUGAUAAAAUCCGUCGUCAAGAGGGAAACAACCCAGACUACCAGCUAAGGUCCCUAAAUCUUACUUAAGUGGAAAACGAUGUGAAGUUACUUAAACAACCAGGAGGUUGGCUUAGAAGCAGCCAUCCUUUAAAGAAAGCGUAAUAGCUCACUGGUCUAGUGAUUUUGCGCGGAAAAUAUAACGGGGCUAAAGUAAGUACCGAAGCUGUAGACUUAGUUUACUAAGUGGUAGGAGAGCGUUCUAUUUGCGUCGAAGGUAUACCGGUAAGGAGUGCUGGAGCGAAUAGAAGUGAGCAUGCAGGCAUGAGUAGCGAUAAUUAAUGUGAGAAUCAUUAACGCCGUAAACCCAAGGUUUCCUACGCAAUGCUCGUCAUCGUAGGGUUAGUCGGGUCCUAAGUCGAGUCCGAAAGGGGUAGACGAUGGCAAAUUGGUUAAUAUUCCAAUACCAACAUUAGUGUGCGAUGGAAGGACGCUUAGGGCUAAGGGGGCUAGCGGAUGGAAGUGCUAGUCUAAGGUCGUAGGAGGUUAUACAGGCAAAUCCGUAUAACAAUACUCCGAGAACUGAAAGGCUUUUUGAAGUCUUCGGAUGGAUAGAAGAACCCCUGAUGCCGUCGAGCCAAGAAAAGUUUCUAAGUUUAGCUAAUGUUGCCCGUACCGUAAACCGACACAGGUGGGUGGGAUGAGUAUUCUAAGGCGCGUGGAAGAACUCUCUUUAAGGAACUCUGCAAAAUAGCACCGUAUCUUCGGUAUAAGGUGUGGUUAGCUUUGUAUUAGGAUUUACUCCGAAAGCAAGGAAACUUACAACAAAGAGUCCCUCCCGACUGUUUACCAAAAACACAGCACUCUGCUAACUCGUAAGAGGAUGUAUAGGGUGUGACGCCUGCCCGGUGCUCGAAGGUUAAUUGAUGGGGUUAGCAUUAGCGAAGCUCUUGAUCGAAGCCCG
rnacentral:rRNA from 1 species